UUUUAAGACUGUGGAGUCUGAUAAUAGAAGAAAACAAAAUUAUAAGACUUUUUUCCGACCUUGUGGUCGUAAUGUGGCUAUUUGGGUAAGAAGCAUGCAAGUCUGGUUAAAGACCGCAGUGCAAAUAAAAAUAGUUUAUAAAAACAAACAGUCGUAAAAGAAGAUGCGAGUCCGGUCGAAGACCGUAGCGAACAGCAAUCCGAAACAAAUAAAAUGCGAGUCUGUUUACAAAUCCAUAGCGCAGUUUUUCCAUAGUAAACAGGCAAGUCCGAAAGAUUUGAAGUGCCGUAAUAAAGUUAAUGUGAGUCCGGUGUGAUUCCGUAGCACAAUAAGGGCAAGUCCGGAGAAAUCCGUAGUGCCAUAUAAUGAGAAUGUGAGCCCGGUAUGAUUCCGUAGCACAUAAGUGAUUCCGUAGCACAAAAGGGCAAGUCCGGAGAAAUCUGUAGUGCCAUAUUAUAAUGAGAAUGUGAGCCCGGUAUGAUUCCGUAGCACAAAAGGCAAGUCCGAAAAAUUCGAAGUAACGUGUUAAAGUUAAUGUUAGGCCGGUAUGAUUCCGUAGCACAAAAGGCAAGCCCGGAGAAAUCCGUGGUGCUAUAUUGUAAUAAGAAUGUAAGUCCGGUAUGAUUCCGUAGCGCAAUAGGCAAGACCGAUAAAUGUUGUAGUGCCGUAUUGAAACUAAUGUGAGUCCGGUAUAAUUCCGUAGCACAAAAGGCAAGUCCAGAGAAAUCUGUAGUGCCAUAUUGUAAUGAGAAUGUGAGUCCAGUAUGAGCUAGUAUGAAUAUCCAGUAUGUAGCACCAAAGGCAAGACCGAGGAAUUCCGAAGUGCCGCAUUAAAACUAAUGUUAGACCGGUAUGGUUCCAUAUCAUAGAAAUCAAGUCAGAAGAGUGGCUGGAAGCGCGAGAAGCUCAAUGUGCGUGACAUCUUGAAUGUGAUUAUGUGCGGUAAGAAGAAUGCGAUUCCGGCAGUUAUGUGAAGUGCACAGUUGCACAUAAAAAAAGCGAUAGAGAAAGACAUAGAAAGAGAGAGAGAGAGAUAUAGAUAGAUAGAGAGAGAGACAGAGAAAGAGAGAGAGAUAAAGAUAGAGAUAGAGAGAGAGAGAGAGAGAGAGAGGGAGAGAGAGAGAGAGAGAAUAAAAUUGAAGAUUUAGAGGAAAAAUACAAUUGAGAGACACGAUACAGUAAACAAAAAUAAUAACGAAUAAGUUGGAGAUAGUUAAAGCAACAUAAAUAAAUACAAUUAAAAAAAGAAUAAAACAAGGUAUUCAAAAACAACUUCAAUCAAAGAAAAGAUAAAAAACGAAAAGAAUGUACAGAUAGUUUGUAUUAUGUGAUAACAUUUAAUAGAAUUAAAACAAAAUUAGAUGUGGUGCUGACUGACAUAAGGCUCUUUUGAUGCAUAAAAUAAAAUACAAUAGGCAAAUUUUGUUAGAGUCUUGUUAAUUAGAAAUCUUGUUGAUAAUUUAAAAGAAAGUAAUGUAAUGCGAACGAAAAUCGGGGAAUUAUUCCUACUGUUAAAAAUAAUUACAUAAAAUCGUUAGUCAUGCAUGUAUUUAAACAAACGGGAUUUGUUUGCAAACCAAAUACAUCACGACAGAAUUGUGAUUCACCCGAAAUGCACAUGAUGAUAGAUAGAUUAGAAGACUUGAUUAUAAACUAUGGAUCUAGCUAUUGGAGAUUGAAAAAUAAUCAAUUUGUUGAUUUCAUUAAUCGUUAUUGUGUUUAUCCAACAAGAUGUAGUAUUUUAAGAAUGCAGUUGCUUUGGAGGUUUGUGGUAAUGAUAGAGUAUUUAAAAAAUAUUAGAGGGAAUCAUUGCUCUUCCUAUGCUUAUGAUACAAUACCAAAAUUGAUAACAGGAUACAAGUUAAAAAACAUUGGCUCGAAGGGUUUACUCGCUAUAAUAGCAAUCCAGAUAGAUUGUCCAGAUCUCCAGAUUCAGAUCGACCAAUUCCAAAUUCAACCCAUUCCAGAUGGAGCUAGGCUAAUUGCUAUGAUAGCUGCUAGGAUGAAAAGACGUCCAAUUUGACAGCUAACUGACCGAUUUUGGUACCUGAUUUAGAGCAAAUUAGCGAUAAGUUCGGUUAAGGUCUUGAAGUAGGGUCGAAUAAGGUCAACGCAAACAGCUGAUUACAAUUAGGCUCCAUCGAGGAUAGUAGCCAAAGCAAUUAGAAGAAGACAGGCAUAUCAUUGGACAAAUGGGCAACAUUAUCUACGCGAGCGAAGGUUAAAUUAAUCGAAAUGAAGUCACUAACAGAUUGAUACACACGGACAACACAGAGUAACAGGCUGAUUAUGAAGAUUAUUAAAAUGGGAUGGGAAAUUAAUUUUUAAAUGCUUAACAAUUAAAAAAAGAUAUCAUAAUGACUACUUAAAGUAGUUGCAAUCUUACAUCGCAAAAAAGGGAAAUGAAAAUUCAUUACGGACAAAAUGAAACAUAAGGUUAAAAAAAAGAAAGAAGAAAAUUUAAGAGCAUAUACAAUAACAUGUUUGAUAGUUUUGCCACACCUUCCAGUACGUGUAGAUAGCAAAAUUUGGUGCAGGAAAAAUCAUUCCUUCAUGGAAUAAAGAGUAACUGACUAACAUUUUGAACAAGUCGCAGGUCAAUAGAUUAUACGUGAGAUCAAAAAAAGGAUUCAAGUUUGUAAAACCAGCCCGUAAGACCAGCUAAGAUGAUAUCUGAAAGAUAAUGUCCAUAAUAAUGUAAUGAAAGAUUAUGUAAUGUAUAUUGAUCAUGGUUGUGAGACUGACAAAAGCUAAUAUGCAUCGGAAUGAGUUAGGAAAAUAAUGAAGAGCAAAGUUAACAAGAAGUAUAGAUACAAAAGAUAGUUCGUAGAAGCGACCUAUUGUAGGAAUUGUGAUAAAUAGAAGAAGUAAAUAAGACAAGAAUCGAACAUUACUGUAAAUAUGUAGAAUAUAUGUUAUUUAUGUCAAAUAGGCUUUGAGAUGUUGAAAUAAGUAAGCGUUGGAGUAGGAAUCUACUUUGCAAAAAAAAGUCUGACAUGAGUCAGACAGUUGCAUGUAUCGGAUAAAUAUGGAGUUUGGGAAUGUUAAAUGAAGAAAUGAAAUUAUUUUGAAAAAAUAAUGUUUUUUUGCAGCUUAUCUUUAGCGUAAUGCACAGGACUGUACCCUGCAUCAUGAUGCAGAGAAGUCCUUCGAGGUGGCCGAGACACGGAAAUGUACUGCACGCAAUAGGAUUUCAGAACACGUGGAGAGAUGGAGCACAUCUAUGAUACAACCAUCAAGUUACUAAUGCUAUGAAGGAAGUGAAAGAAUAGAAGAUCGAGAUGUAGAUGUACAAAAAAAAAAUCAUUUGCAAGAAACCACGACAAAGCGAAAGGCCACGGGAGUGACAAAAUGCUGACAAAUUUUUCAAAAUGUGAGCUUUUGUCACUUUUUUGAGCUUUUGUCAAAAUUUUGUAACCUGGAGCAGCCAGGAAAAAAAGUUGACAAAAGUUGACAAAAAGUGACAAAAUUUGACGUAUGCUCAAAAAUGUAAACAAUUUCAUAUUCAGGGCGGUUAUGGUUUGUUACUUGGAAAUUAAAACUCCCCUACCCGCAAAUUUCCGUUAAAUGCCUUCUAAUCGCCUUGUAAUCGCCGGCGAAUUGAAGGCGAUUAGCAGUGCAUUUAGCAGUAAUAAAAUGCCUUUGAAAUACUUCCAUGAAAUAUUUUGUUCUGAAUUUUUCAUGAACUUUCAUGAAACAUUUCAUUUGAAUUUCAAAUACCCCGGUGCAAAAAAUCAGGAAGUGUAAUCUGUCAUUCUCAAGAUUCGUUGAAUUGUUAACGAAAGUUUGCAAAAACAAAACGAGCGAAAGAGGGGGAGAUGCAGCUUUAUCCAUUGCUCUGUUUUUUCAUUAUCUCUAGCCGGGUCUUUCUUCUACCGUGAGGAAUUCUCCGAAUGCAACGUGUUUCGAGAUGUAUUGUGUGGUGUUUCGCUGUUCAUUGUUCUCAGUUCUCGCCUGCGAAUUUGUGUGGUCUUGACAAGUACAUGCCAUGGGUUAAUGUGUUUAGAUUGGCUCAUGGGUUGGUGCUGUUCAACAGAUUCCAUUUUAUUUCAUCGGACGAACGGCGGCUAAGAGAACUGAACCUAGGACUUUUCCUGAUCUAUGACCGUGGUGCCACAGCAAUGGCGUUUUGUGUCGUUGAAACCCAUGGUCCAAAAGGCCAUGGAGAGUUGAGUGCAGUUCCAAGUUCGUGGGUGCAGGGAACCAGUUCAGGAAAGACAUACUUACUUUGGCCAAAUCAAAACAUACGCGACAUUUCAACAUUAUUAUGUGAUGCUGAAAGUGUUCCUUCUAAAGGAUGGUCCAGGCAGCAGUGUAUUAUGAAGCGAAAUAACAUUCAGAAUUACGCUGAUGCUACUAAAAUAAUGGCAGAAAUGUCCGGAGAUUCAUCAAGCGAUUAUGAAGCGAUGGCAGCCGCAAAAAAAAAAUGUUCCAUCUUAUAAAGAUAUGUUUUCCCAAAAAACAUUAGAAAACAUAAAUCAAACUAUUGAAGAUAGUGUGAUAGAAUCAAAUGAAUGCAAAGAAUCAGAAUAUUUAGACAUGCUUGGCGAUGUUACGCAUACUGAAGAGGAAUGGUUAAUGCACCAAGAAGGAAUAGAAGAAAAUUGUCAACGUUGCAAAACGUUUAGAGAAGAGGAAAAAUGGGCUCUACAGCAGUUGUUGGAAGGCCAACAGAAAAUGUUUAAAAGAUUAGGAGUUAUUGAACGCCAGCUGGAUGUAAUUUUGAAUAGCCAUAACAAGCACCAAACUACUACAGCGAACAGAGCAUUCCAAACAAUAAGCAAUGAAGAAGACUUAGACUGCUUCAACAUAAAGCUAGUUAAUGAAGAAUAUUUUGAGGAAGUCGUAAAAAAUUUGAUUUCAUUGGUCAGUGACAUCGACCCUGAAAGUAGAAUGUUGAGUACACUCGAUUUAAUUUUUGAUAAAGAAUUCUUAACUACAUGCAGCUGGACUGGAGUAGGCAAGAGUUGUUCCAAAAUUCCAAUAAUAGCUUACAAAAAUGUUCAAAAACUUUUUCAAAGAGUAGGAAGCACACAGAACGUAGUAGUUUCAGAUGAGAGUGUGGCACAGUUUUUUAUGAAAAAAUUGAAACAUGCUAAACAAAGAUUCCUUAAUAUUCAGGGUAUAAGAAAACCAACGUCGCAUAAAAAGACAAAAAAAUACUUUGUAGAUGAAAAUGAUAACAUUUGUUAAACACUUGAUUACAUUGUAGCCAUCUAAUUGAAUUCGGAAUUGAUUGAAAUAAAAAGUGUGUUGAAUAGUAAAAAA